GUGGACAGGCCCUACCUACCCACAUGGAGGCACCUGUCUGAGAUCCAGGCCAGAUGUGUGUCGAUGAAAAAUCGGACCCUUGCCGAACCCCAGGACACACACGAACAAAGCUUACAAAGCCGAGGGGCACAGCUCGGUGAGGACAUGAAAACUCAGAAGUUUUAAUGGUUUGCCUCAGGUUACACAGUUGCUGAAUGGCAGAAUUUGAAUUUGAACCCAGGACCCAGUUGCUCCAGCCUUAGGUGAGAAAGAUGCCAGGGG